AUAUUGAUACUUCUGUCCAGUCACAGCCCCCUUUGAACAGGGGACCACGCAAUGAGGGCAGCCGACAGAGAUCCUGCCGGGGGUGAAAUUCCCAUGA
rfam:Clostridium sp. FS41 CLFS41_contig000076, whole genome shotgun sequence.